rnacentral:rRNA from 1 species
UACGGGGGGGGCAAGCGUUGUUCGGAAUUACUGGGCGUAAAGGGCUCGUAGGCGGCCAACUAAGUCCGACGUGAAAUCCCAAGGCUUAACCUUGGAACUGCGUCGGAUACUGGAUGGCUUGAAUUCGGGAGAGGGAUGCAGAAUUCCAGGUGUAGCGGUGAAAUGCGUAGAUAUCUGGAGGAACACCGGUGGCGAAGGCGGCAUCCUGGACCACGACUGACGCUGAGUGAGCGAAAGCCAGGGGAGCAAACGGG